CCAAUAGCGUAUAUUAAAGUUGUUGCAGUUAAAAAGCUCGUAGUUGAAUUUCGGGGUCAAUAGGUUGGUCGUGCCACCGGUACGUACUGGUCUCACUGAUUCCUCCUUCCUGAAGAACCGUAAUGCCAUUAAUUUGGUGUUGCGGGGAAACAGGACUGUUACUUUGAAAAAAUUAGAGUGUUUAAAGCAGGCUAACGCUUGAAUACAUUAGCAUGGAAUAAUGAAAUAGGACGAUCGAUCCUAUUUUGUUGGUUUCUAGGAUUGACGUAAUGAUUAAUAGGGAUAGUUGGGGGCAUUAGUAUUCAAUUGUCAGAGGUGAAAUUCUUGGAUUUAUUGAAGACUAACUACUGCGAAAGCAUUUGCCAAGGAUGUUUUCAUUAACCAAGAACGAAAGUUAGGGGAUCGAAGACGAUCAGAUACCGUCGUAGUCUUAACCAUAAACUAUGCCGACUAGGGAUCGGAUGAUGUUAAUUUUAUAAUGACUCAUUCGGCGCCUUACG
rnacentral:rRNA from 1 species